UUUUUAAAGUACAUCUAUUUUUUUUAUCCAGAGAUAGAUAUUCUCUGAUGUCAUUUAUUUAUAAUGAAUAAAUAUUUUAUAGUGUGAUGAAUAGUACAAUUCAUUGGGUAAUAUUUUUAUCUUCCCCAGAGUAACAUCUGAAAAUUAUUUUGGUACUUUAAAAUUUUUUAUGAUUAAUAAUUUAAAUUAACUAUAUACAUUGACUUAAUAAUUACUUUAUUAUGAGUAUUUAUUUUUGAUUUGUUUUGAACGAUUACUACUGCAUAUAUUUAUUUCUGGUUAGAACUUUGUCUUCUUAUUUUCUUUGAGAAAAAUUUCUCACCUGUGUUCGAAAUUUUUCUGAUGAGUGGAGGGAGUGUGUAACAUUCCUGUUUUCUUUGAGAAAAAUUUCUCACGUGUGUUCAAAAUUUUUCUGAUGGGUGAGAGGAGUGUGUAACGUUACAAACGUCACAUCUUUGAUAUUUUAUUUUUAAAUAAUUAUUUUAUCUUAUUUUCUUUAAUAUUUCAUUAAUCAUUAUCUUCUUCUAUUUGGUUUACCCAUUUUCCCCUUUAAUAAAAAUCGGUUGGCGCUCUCUUUUAUUACCCUCUUUUAUUAUCUUCUAUUUAAUAUAUCUCUUUCAUUUAAAUCAUCAUACUGAACAUACCUCGUAUAUUCAUACUCUCCAAAUAUCUGUAUUUUCAAUACGGAACAUGCCGCUACUUCAUAGUACUUGGUUGUCAUUUUAAACGUCGUUUUCAAUGACAGUGUCACUUCAUCGACUUGACCCCCUACUCCCUGACAUACACUGGAAGGGAAAAAUUAAUCCUUAAAAAGGCAUGUAAUUCGAAAAAUAAAUCAUUUCUAUUUCAACAAAUCAUCUUCCUCUUGGGUUUUUUGGAAAGAAACCACUUUUCUCCCUCCGGGAGUUUCAACAACCCUCAAAUCGCCGGCGAUACAACAACGAGGACCAUGACAUCCAGACUGCACAACCACCACCUCUAGCUGCAGGGGCCUUGGGCCGAAGAUCCGCCCAGGCCUACGAGAAGUCUACAACAGCAGUACCAUACGACAUCAAGAAGAUACCAUCAGCUACCAAAAGCCAUAAGUAUAAUCCAGAAUUGUUAGUUUUUGGCAAGAAUUUAAAUACAUUUGUUAAUGCAAUUUACUAAGUCAUUUUAUUUAUUAUAUCUUUAUGAACAAUAAACAUGAUUAGUUAAAAACUA